CGGAACUCUGCAAAUUGACACCGUAACUUCGGGAGAAGGUGUGCCGCUGGCGGUUAGUGACUUCGCGUCACGAAGCUGUCGGUGGUCGCAGUGAAAUGGCGGUUGUGACUGUUUACUAAAAACACAGGACUCUGCGAAGUCGUAAGACGACGUAUAGGGUCUGAUGCCUGCCCGGUGCUGGAAGGUUAAGGGGAUAUGUCAGCGCAAGCGAAGCAUUGAACCGAAGCCCCAGUAAACGGCGGCCGUAACAAUAACGGUCCUAAGGUAGCGAAAUUCCUUGUCGGGUAAGUUCCGACCUGCACGAAGGGCAUAACAACAUCCGCACUGUCUCGACCAGGGACUCAGCGAAAUUACAUUGGGGGUGAAGAUGCCCUCUACCCGCGGAAAGACGGAAAGACCCCAUGAACCUUUACUGCAACUUGGCAGUGAUUUUCGGGUUGUUCUGCGUAGGAUAGGUGGGAGGCUUUGAAGCCGGGCUUCCGGGUUCGGCAGAGCCAACGUCGAAAUACCACCCUGAAUAAUCUGGAAACCUAACCUGCGCCCAUGAUCUGGGCGAGGGACACUGCCUGGUGGGCAGUUUGACUGGGGCGGUCGCCUCCUAAAUUGUAACGGAGGCGUGCGACGGUUCCCUCAGGCUGAUUGGAAACCAGCCGUAGAGUGCAAACGCAUAAGGGAGCUUUACUGCGAGACUGACAAGUCGAACAGUUGCGAAAGCAGGUGUUAGUGAUCCGGUGGUACCACAUGGAAGGGCCAUCGCUCAUCGGAUAAAAGGUACUCUGGGGAUAACAGGCUGAUCGCGCCUGAGAGUUCACAUCGGCGGCGCGGUUUGGCACCUCGAUGUCGGCUCAUCGCAUCCUGGGGCUGGAGCAGGUCCCAAGGGUUUGGCUGUUCGCCAAUUAAAGCGGUACGCGAGCUGGGUUUAAAACGUCGUGAGACAGUUUGGUCCCUAUCUUCCGUGGGCGCAGGACACUUGAGAGGAGCUAUCCAUAGUACGAGAGGACCUGGAUGGACGAACCUCUGGUGCUCCGGUUGUCACGCCAGUGGCAUAGCCGGGUAGCCAUGUUCGGAACAGAUAACCGCUGAAGGCAUAUAAGCGGGAAGCUGGCCUCAAGACUAGGUGUCCCUGACGCAAGUCACUAAAGGCCCCCCGAAGACUACGAGGUUGAUAGGCUCGGUGUGGAAGCGCUGCGAGGCGUGGAGCUAACGAGUACUAAUAGGCCGUGCGACUUGACCUC
rnacentral:rRNA from 1 species